AAAAGUCAAAGACAAAUGAGACACAAAAAAACGCGGUUUCAAUUUCAUUUUCCAAUGUUCAUGCACACAUCCAAUCCAGCUGUGAUCAUCAAUAAUAUCAAUUAUAUAUUCUAAUGCAAGGAACCUUUUUAAUUUUUUAUUUUAACAAAAAAUAAAUUAUUGUAUAGUUAUGUAGAUCUAUGCUACACAGUAGUAGUGCCCUUAUUUUCUUUGUCCUAAUCUUUAAGAUCCUCAGAUGUCAAACAAAAAAAAACCAACAACCUCUUCCUUUGUGUUUGUGAGCUCAAGUUGAAGUUUUUAGUUCGAAGACUUUUACUACUCUCUUCACUGUUGUUGUGUUGUGCUUCUUCUGGGAAGGUUCUGGGGUUCAACGG
rnacentral:lncRNA from 1 species